rnacentral:rRNA from 1 species
GGGGAAUUUUGGACAAUGGGCGCAAGCCUGAUCCAGCCAUGCCGCGUGCAGGAUGAAGGCCUUCGGGUUGUAAACUGCUUUUGUACGGAACGAAAAGGUGCCUUCUAAUAAAGGGCGCUCAUGACGGUACCGUAAGAAUAAGCACCGGCUAACUACGUGCCAGCAGCCGCGGUAAUACGUAGGGUGCAAGCGUUAAUCGGAAUUACUGGGCGUAAAGCGUGCGCAGGCGGUUUUGUAAGACAGAGGUGAAAUCCCCGGGCUCAACCUGGGAACUGCCUUUGUGACUGCAAGGCUGGAGUGCGGCAGAGGGGGAUGGAAUUCCGCGUGUAGCAGUGAAAUGCGUAGAUAUGCGGAGGAACACCGAUGGCGAAGGCAGGUCACUGGGCCGCAACUGACGCUGAGGAGCGAAAGCAUGGGGAGCGAACA